CACGACCCGCAUCUGGCCACACUGCCGCUGCCUGCCAUCACAUGCUGACGCCUCGCUGUCACCACUCAGGGAUACUUUGGUACUUAUCUUACGUCUUGAGGCAACGAAGAGUGUCUUAACGGUCUUUGAGCCACAGAAAAACGGCUUAAUCUGUCUUCAUAUCAACGGAGAAGACUAUGUCUGUCUUCAAGCAACAGAGAAGACACACCUUUUGAAUGAAGCAAAGACCUACGCAGGAAGAAAACUAAGGUACUUUAUUGUCAAAAGGAAAGAAACGACAUGUGUAACAGAAAAGCAACAUAAUUAUUAGAGAAAAGACUCUUCUGCUGGCGGCAAAGGAAAAAUACAAGUAAUAGAAGGAAAGGAAAGAGUAUAUUGGCAAAAGGAUGGGAGAAAUGUGUGUUCGUUUAAAGGAAAAGGAGACGAACACGUGAAAGAAGCGCAUGGAGGACUUGUGUGGUGCUGGAAAGGAGAAAGCAAACACACGGGACAUCAAGAAAAGAAAAAAAAAAACAUGAAGAAAAACACUCUAAUAGCAUAAAAUAAGAAAAAAUAGACACGUAUGUUAUAGAAAAGCAACUCACGUACUGGGAAGAAGAAGAAGAAGAAGAAGAAGAAGAAGAAAAGAAAGAAACAGGAAAAGAAAAAAAAAUGCAGGAAUAAGAUAAACACAAGACAACAGAAAACGGAGGAAGAGAUAAUUUAACGCACAGACACCAUCAUACACCUUCACCUCUUCUCUGCCCUCCAGGUGUACCCAGUAAUUAUGAACCUAGCCACCUGUCCAGCUCACACCUUUACCUGAGAAAUCACCACACCUGCCCGCCCCUCGCAUCCACACCUACCUAGGCUUGGCGAGUGUAAUUCCAGAGUGAGUAAAACGCAAAAUCGAGGCAGCUGGAGGCGAGCUCUUGACCCGAACUGGAGCAACACGCGGUUCGAACACAGCUGAACGAAGCACCAGAGAACAAGAAGAAAAAGAAGAAAGAAAGAAAGAAAGAAAGAACAACAACAACAACAACAACAACAACAACAACAAACUCAAUAAAAGUGAAGAGAGAAAUACAAAUACAACAAAGAAGAAGAAACAAACUAAAAACAAUCAUGUCUUAGUCCUGGGGCGCUUUAUAAUCCUAGUAUUGUGACGACAAACUCCCGGUAAUUCAACUAAUCACUCAGUCAAUUACUUCUCUUCGUUGUUACCUUAGUCUACCUACGAACGCCUGAGAGCGAGAUUAUCAACACCAGCAGUCAUGAAUGUGGUAGCUGUAGUGGCACUGGUGGUGGUGGUGGUGAUGGUGGUGACAGCAGAAGAAGACCCGCGUGUGACGGUGUGCUCCCAGCGUGACUUAAGAAACACUAUUAGUAAUUUAUGCAGUAGAAGAAGACAGCGAUCUAUUUGGUCUUUCCUAUCCUCUUCCUCUUCCUCUCAACCAUCACUUUCCCUCUCUCAUUCAUUUGCUUAUUCAGACUCUUCCUCCUCCUCCUCCUCGUUGCUGACACACCUAGGUAUCAAAGGGCGACCCAGGACACACACCACCCAACAAGACACCAACGAGGGACACACGAGGUCGUAUCCCCUUAUCCUACCAUCUCUUUUGGGGCGUGGAGGUGUGGGGUUGUCAGUGCACGGGGCUGAGGGCGUGGGGAGCCGUGAGUUGGGUGCUGGCCGGCGUAGAAGUAGGUGGAGGAUGGGUAAGAACAAAUGGUGGGUAAAUAAAGACGUAAUCAAGAGACAUUUCCUGACGAAGAGAAAAGUUCAGACUCUUGGGGAUCUGCGCAAGCAUUGUUGUCUGCACGGCUGUCUGGAGAGUGACCUGUUGUCCGCGUGUAUAUGAGAGAGAGAGAGAGAGAGAGAGAGAGAGAGAGAGAGAGAGAGAGAGAGAGAGAGAGAGAGAGAGAGAGAGAGAGAGAGAGAGAGAGAGAGAGAGAGAGAGAGAGAGA